UUAAGGCAUGAAACCACUGCAUAAACUCUUGAGUCCAUCCUUGCUCAGGGAUGAGCAAGAGGUAUGCUUGGGGGAGUUGUUGAUGGUCCUUAAGUACCAAAAAUAAUCAUCAAAUAAAUAAAGAAAAGGAUCUAAAUGCAACCAACACCCAGACUUAGGAUUUUAUCUGACAGAAUACCACGAGUUUUGGUGUUUGUCUAUUUCUGCAGGGGGUUAUCAGGAAAUACGGAAGAAAGGCCC
rnacentral:lncRNA from 1 species